GGGGUUGUGGCUCAAUGGCAGAGUGCCUGCCUAGCAUGCAGGAUGCACUGGGUUUGAUCCUCAGCUCCA
rnacentral:tRNA from 1 species